rnacentral:misc_RNA from 1 species
UUAAGUUCAGCGGGUAGUCUUACUUGAUUUGAGAUCGAGUUUAUGAUUAGAGUUCCUGUAUUCGAGGCAAGACUCCUCUCAGGCUCCCCUAUAGCGCUUUCAGCAAAGAGCAAUAAUCCUUUUGACGGGACUAAAUAGAUAUGCUUUCAGGCCAAGGAAUAUGAACCCAAGGGAGAUUGAUGCACCCUCAUUUCAAGUAA